AUCAACUUUCGAUGGUAGGAUAGAGGCCUACCAUGGUGGUAACGGGUAACGGGGUGUUAGGGCACGACACCGGAGAGGGAGCCUGAGAAACGGCUACCACAUCCAAGGAUGGCAGCAGGCGCGCAAAUUACCCAAUCCCGACACGGGGAGGUAGUGACAAUAAAUAACAAUACGGGGUUCUUUCGGAUUUCGUAAUUGGAAUGAGUACAAUUUAAAUCUCUUAACGAGGAACAAUUGGAGGGCAAGUCUGGUGCCAGCAGCCGCGGUAAUUCCAGCUCCAAUAGCGUAUAUUAAAGUUGCUGCAGUUAAAAAGCUCGUAGUUGAAUUUCGGGACCAUCAUGUCGGUCGUGCCUCGGUACGUACUGGCAUUGUUGGUUUCUCCCUUCUGACGAACCAUGAUGUCAUUUAUUUGGUGUUGUGGGGAAUCAGGACUGUUACUUUGAAAAAAUUAGAGUGUUUAAAGCAGGCUCACGCUUGAAUACAUUAGCAUGGAAUAAUGAAAUAGGACGUUUGAUUCUAUUUUGUUGGUUUCUAGGAUCGACGUAAUGAUUAAUAGGGAUAGUUGGGGGCAUUAGUAUUCAAUUGUCAGAGGUGAAAUUCUUGGAUUUAUUGAAGACUAACUACUGCGAAAGCAUUUGCCAAGGAUGUUUUCAUUAAUCAAGAACGAAAGUUAGGGAAUCGAAGACGAUCAGAUACCGUCGUAGUCUUAACCAUAAACUAUGCCGACUAGGGAUCGGAUGAUGUUAAUUUUUUAAUGACUCAUUCGGCGCCUUACGGGAAACCAAAGUGUUUGGGUUC
rnacentral:rRNA from 1 species